CCCAGGGUUUCCUCGUUUUGCAGGGACCUCUGCUUGCUUUGGCUGCCCUAGAUUUUGCCUGCAGAUUAGAGACAACAUGUGAUGGACACAGGAAGACACGAGACAUGAUAGACUUCCUGUAGUUGGAGCAACCAGCUGAGUUCCUCAUUUGGGACCCGGAGUUGGACUCCAGGGUGUUGGUGGCAGCGCUGAGGGGCCCCUCGCUGCCCCCAUCAUGGCAUCUGCUCUCACUGUCCUCUUCCUCGGCUGCUGGCUGGCCGGGCACAGCGGGGUGUGGGGAGGUGCGGAUGGUGCCUGAUGGGUCAGUGGCUGAAUUUCCCAUCCCCAGUGUCGGCCGGGAAGAUGGAGGGAGCUACACCUGCGACUAUCACUCCAAAACAGAACAGAAUUGCACAUCGCAUCCCAGCGACCCCAUCGAGAUCAUUGGAGCAGGUGAGGGACGAGCCUGGCUCCUCUUAAUGUGUUUACAGGAGUGAUACAAGCUUAUAUCUUAUUCUCCUAACUCCAGAUAUAGAAAUAAUACAUGCAAACAAAUAAGAUGAACACACUUAACAGAUUACAAACUUUCUAAUGACACAGAACAAGGGGUAUUUAGCGUAAAGCAUAUUCCAGUUACAUUAUAUUACACUCAUAAGCAUAUGAAGUGCAACAUCACAGAAUAAUCUCUCAGCCACUCAGGUACCAUCAAUAGGGAGGCUCCAGUCAAUGCCCUCCAGCUUCCCAGCCUUGCACCCCACACCGGUACUGUCCUGCACUGGUCAGAAGCCAGUUCAUUAAGUUUGCCCCUCCCUCAGUGUGGACUGGACAUGCACUAGCCUUUGUAAACUGAGCUGAGAUUUCCUAAGCACUUCAACCAAAACACACUGUUUUAGCUCAAAUAUAAAACAGAUUUAUUAACUCCAGAAGGAGAGAUUUGAAGUGGUUAGAAGGAGCAGGCGCAGAGAUCAGAGUUGGCUACUUAAGAAAUAAAAAUAAAUUUGCAGUCUAAGUUCUACAAACGAAACACGAUUUGAAUCAGACAGUUUCUCCCCCGAUGUUACAAGCAGGUUAAAGAUCUUCAAUACACAGACUGGACUCCAUCCCAGCCUGGGACCAGCCUUCCCCGGUUCAAAGUCUUUGUCCUCCAGAUGUUCCUCCAGAUGUUGAGUUGUGGGGAAGAGAAGCCCAGGGAUUAUGUCCCUUCCCCUCUUUUAUAUUUUCUGUCAGUUUGCUGGAAAGAUCUUUGCUGUGACCCGGGGAUCAGGCAGUCCCCAUUGGUCCAGCAAUCUCCAUUGUACACAGUCUCAGAGAUAAUGGAUUCUUUCCUUGAGGGGUGUUGAUGAGCGAUUAACAUUGUCUGCCUGAUCCUUUGUUGCAGUUGAAAGAUUGGCUGUGGGCAUCUGCCAGCCUCACAAAAUAUUUCAGUAGCACACACAGCAAUGCUUCAGAACUUCCCAUACAAGGAUCACACAUACCAUGCAACAGGACAUGAAUGUUCAAGAUAUCAAGACUUUUAAAAUGAUGCCUCACAAGGCAACUUUGUACCCAACCGAUCAUAGUUCUAUCGUAGUGGUGAAUACGGGGGAUCCAGGGUGCUAUUUUGAGAUACAGAUUGUCACACUGUGGUAUCACCCUGGCGUGACCAGGGCCUGGGAAAGAGAUGUGGAACAUGUAAGAAACAGACUGUGAACUUCCUUUCCCUUGCAGAGAUGGCUGUUUGCAGUGUCCCUGUGCCCACAGGGCGGGGUGACUUGUUUCCUGUAACCUUCCCCAUUUUUACUUAUUUUUUAUGAGUUGCUGUUUAA